CCCAGCAGCCUUUCGCGCUCGUAUUCGACUUUAAUUUCCGCUUCGCUCGGGGGACAACCUUAAUUGAAAUAGCUGUAUAAGAUAUCUAUGGUUGACAUGUAAUGCAUUGCCACGUGCAUGUCUCGUAUUGUUAAUGGUAAAAGGAGUGAAAACGAAAUUGGCAUCUUCAGUGCUGCCAAGAAAAUUUUAACAAAAUGUCUUCGCCGACUUUUCUUAGAGCUUGUAGUAAAUUUUAGUCAUCUUAUAUACUGGAAUGCCAUAUAAAUUACUUAUUGUUUGAACCAUAGUUAAUAGAGGACAAAUUCCAAUAAAGCUUUUUGCAAGUCAAGAUGAAAUUUGUCACAGCAAAAGAUAAGUGAUAUACGAGUCAACUUCUAGCAAGUCUAUAUUCUCUGCAGGCGUCUUUAUGGGUUUUACGCUGCGAACCACCCAUUACGCCCUAAAUACAUUGCAUUAUGCAAUAUAUUGCGUUGUAUUUAAUAUAAGUUAUCACUAUAUUAUCUUGGGCCAGCCAAGUAUUUUUUUCAACACUAACCGCAUGCUUAUGUACUAUUUAAAGCACGCGUAGGAGUGUUUUAUCACAUAUAAAACACGACGCGUAGCGGAGUUUCCUCCUGAAUUAUUAAUGAGUUUUUGAAAUAUAUAUAUGGUGGUAGGUAUAUAUGUAUAAGUACACGAUGGCCCUAAUAAGGCAAGUGCAAAAAUGUCACAGCUUGUCAAGAUGAGAAGAUGUGUUCGCACUGCUUUUUCAAUAAAACAACCUUGUAUAAUCACCGAUGUAGUUAUACUUGUUAAAUAAUAAAUAUUUUUAAUUUGGUUGUAUCUCGCUCAAUAUUGGAAGUUAGUCCUUUCUGAAUGAAAUGAUCUUUAUGCCAAUGGACCUUUCCC